AUGGCGGGGAAGUGGAUUCGUGGCUGGAUCUCGGCGGUAGGAGAGGUGGGUUGGUGGUGGGCGCCGACUCGCCAUUGGCUGGAUCCCGGCGGCGGGAAGGUGGGAUGGUGGAGUUCGGGACGGGAGGUGGAAGAGAUGGGGUGCGGGGACAGUGGGGCCCUGAUUUUUUUCUUUCCCACCGUUCGGGAGUUCGGGAACACCUAA
rnacentral:rRNA from 1 species